GCCCGAGUGGCGGAAUGGUAGACGCAGGGGAUUCAAAAUCCCCCGCCUCGCGGCGUGUCGGUUCGAAUCCGACCUCGGGUACCA
rnacentral:tRNA from 1 species